rnacentral:rRNA from 1 species
UUCGGACCUUGCGCUAAAUGAUGAGCCUAAGUCGGAUUAGCUAGUUGGUGGGGUAAAGGCCUACCAAGGCGACGAUCUGUAGCGGGUCUGAGAGGAUGAUCCGCCACACUGGGACUGAGACACGGCCCAGACUCCUACGGGAGGCAGCAGUGGGGAAUAUUGGACAAUGGGCGAAAGCCUGAUCCAGCCAUGCCGCGUGUGUGAAGAAGGCCUUUUGGUUGUAAAGCACUUUAAGCGAGGAGGAGGCUACUAGUACUAAUACUACUGGAUAGUGGACGUUACUCGCAGAAUAAGCACCGGCUAACUCUGUGCCAGCAGCCGCGGUAAUACAGAGGGUGCGAGCGUUAAUCGGAUUUACUGGGCGUAAAGCGUGCGUAGGCGGCUUUUUAAGUCGGAUGUGAAAUCCCCGAGCUUAACUUGGGAAUUGCAUUCGAUACUGGGAAGCUAGAGUAUGGGAGAGGAUGGUAGAAUUCCAGGUGUAGCGGUGAAAUGCGUAGAGAUCUGGAGGAAUACCGAUGGCGAAGGCAGCCAUCUGGCCUAAUACUGACGCUGAGGUACGAAAGCAUGGGGAGCAAACAGGAUUAGAUACCCUGGUAGUCCAUGCCGUAAACGAUGACUACUAGCCGUUGGGGCCUUUGAGGCUUUAGUGGCGCAGCUAACGCGAUAAGUAGACCGCCUGGGGAGUACGGUCGCAAGACUAAAACUCAAAUGAAUUGACGGGGGCCCGCACAAGCGGUGGAGCAUGUGGUUUAAUUCGAUGCAACGCGAAGAACCUUACCUGGCCUUGACAUACUAGAAAC